AUGCAGCAGUGGCUCGUGCUGUGCCUGCGCGACCUCGGGUGCGAGUGGGCCGCCGCGUCGCGGGCCUACGCGCCGGUCGCCGCCUUGGCCGUGCGCCCGUCCGCGGAGGAGGAGGAGGAGGGGGAUUCCGUUCGCCGGCAAGGCUUCUUCAGUGGACUGCGUCUUGAAGACGUUGAUCCACAGGAAGAAAGCCAACAGGAUGCCUUGCAAAUCGAUUUCGAACAGGAAAUUGGAGCACCACGAGCAAGCAGGCAGAGGAGCAGAUUUACAGAGGGGUGCUUCUUCUCACUGGCAGCAGCACGAGCAGGGGAGCUACGGGCGGAGGAGCAACAACUUGCACAGGAGCAGGCCCGCUGGGAGCUUGAGGACGAGCUUGAGGUCGAGGCCCGCCGGGAGCUCCAGCUCCAGCCGCUCGAGACGCAGGCGCGCGCAGGUCCUGGGCGGCGGGAAGGGAUAGCGGCGGCGCAGGCCCUAGGCGGCGGGAGGGCAUAG
rnacentral:rRNA from 1 species